rnacentral:rRNA from 1 species
UAGGGAAUCUUCCGCAAUGGGCGAAAGCCUGACGGAGCAACGCCGCGUGAGUGAUGAAGGUCUUCGGAUCGUAAAACUCUGUUAUUAGGGAAGAACAAAUGUGUAAGUAACUAUGCACGUCUUGACGGUACCUAAUCAGAAAGCCACGGCUAACUACGUGCCAGCAGCCGCGGUAAUACGUAGGUGGCAAGCGUUAUCCGGAAUUAUUGGGCGUAAAGCGCGCGUAGGCGGUUUUUUAAGUCUGAUGUGAAAGCCCACGGCUCAACCGUGGAGGGUCAUUGGAAACUGGAAAACUUGAGUGCAGAAGAGGAAAGUGGAAUUCCAUGUGUAGCGGUGAGAUGCGCAGAGAUAUGGAGGAACACCAGUGGCGAAGGCGACUUUCUGGUCUGUAACUGACGCUGAUGUGCGAAAGCGUGGUGAUCAAACAGG